rnacentral:rRNA from 1 species
CCCGGGGGAUUGCCCUUAGUAACGGCGAGUGAAGCGGCAAAAGCUCAAAUUUGAAAUCUGGUACCUUCGGUGCCCGAGUUGUAAUUUGGAGAGGGCAACUUUGGGGCCGUUCCUUGUCUAUGUUCCUUGGAACAGGACGUCAUAGAGGGUGAGAAUCCCGUGUGGCGAGGAGUGCGGUUCUUUGUAAAGUGCCUUCGAAGAGUCGAGUUGUUUGGGAAUGCAGCUCUAAGUGGGUGGUAAAUUCCAUCUAAAGCUAAAUAUUGGCGAGAGACCGAUAGCGAACAAGUACAGUGAUGGAAAGAUGAAAAGAACUUUGAAAAGAGAGUGAAAAAGUACGUGAAAUUGUUGAAAGGGAAGGGCAUUUGAUCAGACAUGGUGUUUUGUGCCCUCUGCUCCUUGUGGGUAGGGGAAUCUCGCAUUUCACUGGGCCAGCAUCAGUUUUGGUGGCAGGAUAAAUCCAUAGGAAUGUAGCUUGCCUCGGUAAGUAUUAUAGCCUGUGGGAAUACUGCCAGCUGGGACUGAGGACUGCGACGUAAGUCAAGGAUGCUGGCAUAAUGGUUAUAUGCCGCCCGUCUUGAAACACCAGACGACACA